rnacentral:rRNA from 1 species
AUUGAACGCUGGCGGCAGGCCUAACACAUGCAAGUCGAGCGGAUGAAGGGAGCUUGCUCCUGGAUUCAGCGGCGGACGGGCGAGUAAUGCCUAGGAAUCUGCCUGGUAGUGGGGGAUAACGUCCGGAAACGGGCGCUAAUACCGCAUACGUCCUGAGGGAGAAAGUGGGGGAUCUUCGGACCUCACGCUAUCAGAUGAGCCUAGGUCGGAUUAGCUAGUUGGUGGGGUAAAGGCCUACCAAGGCGACGAUCCGUAACUGGUCUGAGAGGAUGAUCAGUCACACUGGAACUGAGACACGGUCCAGACUCCUACGGGAGGCAGCAGUGGGGAAUAUUGGACAAUGGGCGAAAGCCUGAUCCAGCCAUGCCGCGUGUGUGAAGAAGGUCUUCGGAUUGUAAAGCACUUUAAGUUGGGAGGAAGGACAGUAAGUUAAUACCUUGCCGUUUUGACGUUACCAACAGAAUAAGCACCGGCUAACUUCGUG